AAUGCCUAAGAAAAUGAAAUGUGGACAGCAAUGAUCAAUGGAAAUAAUGCUUCAAUCUUUUUAUCAUCUGCUAUGCUUUAUACUCCUCAGGGUGGGUACUGAAUGCUGUUCAAGGUUCUGCCAUGAUCCCUGUGAUCAAAAAAUUUACGCUUGCAUCUACAUGUGCGGACCGUCAACAGAUACUGGAGCUGAUUUCAACUUCCACCAUGAUCAAGGUUACCGUACUGCCUUUGUCAAGAAAGAGACACAGAGUGAAUACCCUUGA
rnacentral:lncRNA from 1 species